GCAGGUGGAGGCCUUUAGGCCCAGAGCUCUGUAGACUCUGGUGCCUGGAUGGGGGAAGAAGGGGUAGCCUGAAGCACCCACCUCCCUGGGACUCCAGGGCUCCCUAGGGUGCAAUGGGGGAGAGCAUCAGUGCCCCAACAGCUGUAAACGUGGGCUCCCCUGAGCACCCCUGGGAUCCUCACAUGGAGGUCAGAGGCUGCAGUGACCCCUCCCUCCCUCAGGGGUUGCUUCCCUUCUCAUGGGGCAGAGGCUGUGAAUGGGCUCCCGGACACAGGACAGACCGUGGCCUGAUCCAGCUCCUGAUGCUCCCGGUCUCUGUGCCCAACAGCCAACCGCCUGCCAUGGAGACUUUCUUUAGGAGACAUUUCCGGGGGAAGGUGCCAGGCCCUGGAGAGGGGCAGCGGCGGCCCAGCAGCGUGGGGCUGCCCACAGGCAAGGCCCGGCGUCGCUCCCCCGCUGGGCAGGCCUCCUCCUCACUGGCACAGCGGCGCCGCUCCAGCGCCCAGCUCCAGGGCUGCCUCCUGAGUUGCGGGGUGAUGGCCCAGGGUUCCAGCCGCCGGCGCUCCAGCACUGUGCCCCCUUCCUGCAACCCCCGCUUCGUCGUGGAUAAGGUGCUCACUCCACAGCCUACCACCGUGGGGGCCCAGCUUCUGGGUGCACCCCUGCUGUUGACCGGGCUUGUGGGCAUGAAUGAGGAGGAGGGUGUCCAGGAGGAUGUGGUAGCCGAGGCAUCGAGCGCCAUCCAGCCAGGCACCAAGACACCAGGGCCACCCCCACCUCGGGGCGCCCAGCCGCUGUUGCCCCUACCCCGCUACCUGCGCCGAGCCUCCUCCCACCUGCUCCCCGCGGAUGCCGUAUAUGACCACGCUCUCUGGGGCCUGCACGGCUACUAUCGGCGCCUCAGCCAGCGGCGGCCCUCAGGCCAGCACCCUGGCCCUGGGGGCCGAAGAGCCUCAGGCACCACCGCCGGCACCAUGCUGCCCACCCGUGUGCGCCCACUGUCCCGCAGGCGCCAGGUAGCCCUACGGCGCAAGGCGGCCGGACCCCAGGCCUGGAGCGCCCUGCUCGCGAAAGCCAUCACCAAGUCGGGCCUCCAGCACCUGGCCCCCCCUCCGCCCACCCCUGGGGCCCCGUGCAGCGAGUCAGAGCGGCAGAUCCGGAGUACAGUGGACUGGAGCGAGUCAGCGACAUAUGGGGAGCACAUCUGGUUCGAGACCAACGUGUCCGGGGACUUCUGCUACGUUGGGGAGCAGUACUGUGUAGCCAGGAUGCUGCAGAAGUCAGUGUCUCGAAGAAAGUGCGCAGCCUGCAAGAUUGUGGUGCACACGCCCUGCAUUGAGCAGCUGGAGAAGAUAAAUUUUCGCUGUAAGCCGUCCUUCCGUGAAUCAGGCUCCAGGAAUGUCCGCGAGCCAACCUUUGUACGGCACCACUGGGUACACAGACGACGCCAGGACGGCAAGUGUCGGCACUGUGGGAAGGGAUUCCAGCAGAAGUUCACCUUCCACAGCAAGGAGAUUGUGGCCAUCAGCUGCUCGUGGUGCAAGCAGGCAUACCACAGCAAGGUGUCCUGCUUCAUGCUGCAGCAGAUCGAGGAGCCGUGCUCGCUGGGGGUCCACGCAGCCGUGGUCAUCCCGCCCACCUGGAUCCUCCGCGCCCGGAGGCCCCAGAAUACUCUGAAAGCAAGCAAGAAGAAGAAGAGGGCAUCCUUCAAGAGGAAGUCCAGCAAGAAAGGGCCUGAGGAGGGCCGCUGGAGACCCUUCAUCAUCAGGCCCACCCCCUCCCCCCUCAUGAAGCCCCUGCUGGUGUUUGUGAACCCCAAGAGUGGGGGCAACCAGGGUGCAAAGAUCAUCCAGUCUUUCCUCUGGUAUCUCAAUCCCCGACAAGUCUUCGACCUGAGCCAGGGAGGGCCCAAGGAGGCGCUGGAGAUGUACCGCAAAGUGCACAACCUGCGGAUCCUGGCGUGCGGGGGCGACGGCACGGUGGGCUGGAUCCUCUCCACCCUGGACCAGCUACGCCUGAAGCCGCCACCCCCUGUUGCCAUCCUGCCCCUGGGUACUGGCAACGACUUGGCCCGAACCCUCAACUGGGGUGGGGGCUACACAGAUGAGCCUGUGUCCAAGAUCCUCUCCCACGUGGAGGAGGGGAACGUGGUACAGCUGGACCGCUGGGACCUCCACGCUGAGCCCAACCCCGAGGCAGGGCCUGAGGACCGAGAUGAAGGCGCCACCGACCGGUUGCCCCUGGAUGUCUUCAACAACUACUUCAGCCUGGGCUUUGACGCCCACGUCACCCUGGAGUUCCACGAGUCUCGAGAGGCCAACCCAGAGAAAUUCAACAGCCGCUUUCGGAAUAAGAUGUUCUACGCCGGGACAGCUUUCUCUGACUUCCUGAUGGGCAGCUCCAAGGACCUGGCCAAGCACAUCCGAGUGGUGUGUGAUGGAAUGGACUUGACUCCCAAGAUCCAGGACCUGAAACCCCAGUGUGUUGUUUUCCUGAACAUCCCCAGGUACUGUGCGGGCACCAUGCCCUGGGGCCACCCUGGGGAGCACCACGACUUUGAGCCCCAGCGGCAUGACGACGGCUACCUCGAGGUCAUUGGCUUCACCAUGACGUCGUUGGCCGCGCUGCAGGUGGGCGGACACGGCGAGCGGCUGACGCAGUGUCGCGAGGUGGUGCUCACCACAUCCAAGGCCAUCCCGGUGCAGGUGGAUGGCGAGCCCUGCAAGCUUGCAGCCUCACGCAUCCGCAUCGCCCUGCGCAACCAGGCCACCAUGGUGCAGAAGGCCAAGCGGCGGAGCGCCACCCCCCUGCACAGCGACCAGCAGCCGGUGCCAGAGCAGUUGCGCAUCCAGGUGAGUCGCGUCAGCAUGCACGACUAUGAGGCCCUGCACUACGACAAGGAGCAGCUCAAGGAGGCCUCCGUGCCGCUGGGCACUGUGGUGGUCCCAGGAGACAGUGACCUAGAGCUCUGCCGUGCCCACAUUGAGAGACUCCAGCAGGAGCCCGAUGGUGCUGGAGCCAAGUCCCCGACAUGCCAGAAACUGUCCCCCAAGUGGUGCUUCCUGGACGCCACCACUGCCAGCCGCUUCUACAGGAUCGACCGCGCCCAGGAGCACCUCAACUAUGUGACUGAGAUCGCACAGGAUGAGAUUUAUAUCCUGGACCCUGAGCUGCUGGGGGCAUCGGCCCGGCCUGACCUCCCAACCCCCACUUCCCCUCUCCCCACCUCACCCUGCUCACCCACGCCCCGCCCCUCCACCAGUUAACUAAAUGGUGUCAACCUGAACCUGGCCAAAGCCCACCUGACGGCCUUCAGCCCUGCGGUUCUCUGGGGAAGCGGCCUCACGUCCACCCUGGUUCCCUCCCUGACUUCUCCCUCCUCUGGACCUCAUCCUUCAGCCAGUCCUGGCAGCCCCCGGACCCACCACCUGAGCACUCCUCCCCACCCCUACUGCCACCAGCCCUUCCUGGCUGCCACGCCCUGGCCCCCAGCUCUUGUAUCCCUGUGGCCAUUCGUGCCCUCGAACCCCCAUCUCCAUACCACGGUCAACUAAAAAUGCAGAACAUACCAGGCCACUCCCCAACCUAGAAGCUUCUUUCUCAGCAGCCCUUUGGACGUGGAUUCUCCCCAGGCCCCCCGUCAUUGCACUGGGCUCCCAGCCCCCUCCCUGAGUUCACCUCCAUGGUCCUGCCCCACUCUCUUCUCUUGGUUCUUUGAGGCGUCAGGUGUUUGCCACCACUGGACUUCUGUCAUCGCUGCCUCCAACUCUUCCCCCAUCUUUCCGGAGCUCCCCCACCCCCAUCCCCUUUGAAUCUCAGCUUGGCUGUUUCCUCCUUGGAGAGAUCACUCCCAGGACCCCCUCUGCAGGGGGGCCACAUCACCUGUUCUGAAUUCUUCAGAGCACCCCUGCUCUCAGAACUCCUUAUUUAUUUGACUUGUUUGCAUCCCUGAACUAGAAUGUAAGCUCCAUGAGGGCAAGGCCUUCCUCUGUCUCGUUUCCCUGCUGUAUCCCCAGUGCCUGGAAUAGUGCUUGGUGUGUAGCAGGCACUCAAUAAACUGUGGAAAGGAUGAAGAUGCCCCCAGUUGGGGUUGGGGAGGGCGACCAGCUGGCCUGUGCCGUAGCCGGUCACAGCACAUCAUGCUCUGUUGCAGGUCACUGCAAGGGGAUGCUGCACCCCCUCAAGGUGAAGAGCUGAUUGAGGCUGCCAAGAGGAACGACUUCUGUAAGCUCCAGGAGCUGCACCGAGCUGGGGGCGACCUCAUGCACCGAGACGAGCAGAGUCGCACGCUCCUGCACCACGCAGUCAGCACUGGCAGCAAGGAUGUGGUCCGCUACCUGCUGGACCACGCCCCCCCAGAGAUCCUUGAUGCGGUGGAGGAAAACGGGGAGACCUGUUUGCACCAAGCAGCGGCCCUGGGCCAGCGCACCAUCUGCCACUACAUCGUGGAGGCCGGGGCCUCGCUCAUGAAGACAGACCAGCAGGGCGACACUCCCCGGCAGCGGGCUGAGAAGGCUCAGGACACCGAGCUGGCCGCCUACCUGGAGAACCGGCAGCACUACCAGAUGAUCCAGCGGGAGGACCAGGAGACGGCUGUGUAGCGGGCCGCCCGCGGGCAGCAGGAGGGACAAUGCGGCCAGGGGACGAGCGCCUUCCUUGCCCACCUCACUGCCACAUUCCAGUGGGACAGCCACGGGGGGACCUAGGCCCCAGGGAAAGAGCCCCAUGCCGCCCCCUAAGGAGCCGCCCAGACCUAGGGCUGGACUCAGGAGCUGGGGGGCCUCACCUGUUCCCCUGAGGACCCCGCCGGACCCGGAGGCUCACAGGGAACAGGACACGGCUGGGUUGGAUAUGCCUUUGCGGGGGUUCUGGGGCAGGGCGCUCCCUGGCCGCAGCAGAUGCCCUCCCAGGAGUGGAGGGGCUGGAGAGAGGGAGGCCUUCGGGAAGAGGCUUCCUGGGCCCCCUGGUCUUCGGCUGGGUCCCCAGCCCCCGAUCCUGCCCCACCCCACCUCCCCCGGGCUUCCUCCCGGAAACUCAGCGCCUGCUGCACUUGCCUGCCCUGCCUUGCUUGGCACCCGCUCCGGCGACCUUCCCCGCUCCCCUGUCAUUUCCUCGCGGACUGUGCGGCCUGGGGGUGGGGGGCGGGACUCUCACGGUGACAUGUUUACAGCUGGGUGUGACUCAGUAAAGUGGAUUUUUUUUUC